rnacentral:sRNA from 1 species
GCUGGGCAUGGUGGCGCACGCCUGUAGUCCCAGCUACUUGGGAGGCUGAGGCAGGAGAAUCACUUGAACCCAGGAGGCGGAGGUUGCAGUGAACCGAGAUCGCGCCACUGCACUCCAGCCUGGGUAAGAGAGUGAGACUUUGUCUCAA